UACGGGGGGGCAAGCGUUGUUCGGAAUUACUGGGCGUAAAGGGCUCGUAGGUGGCCAACUAAGUCAGACGUGAAAUCCCUCGGCUUAACUGGGGAACUGCGUCUGAUACUGGAUGGCUUGAGUUUGGGAGAGGGAUGCGGAAUUCCAGGUGUAGCGGUGAAAUGCGUAGAUAUCUGGAGGAACACCGGUGGCGAAGGCGGCAUCCUGGACCAACACUGACGCUGAGGAGCGAAAGCCAGGGAGCAAACGGG
rnacentral:rRNA from 1 species